GGGGAUAUAGCUCAAUUGGGAGAGCGCCGCGUUCGCAAUGCGGAGGUUGCGGGUUCGAGUCCCGCUAUCUCCACCA
rnacentral:tRNA from 2 species